CCUACGGGAGGCAGCAGUGGGGGAUAUUGCACAAUGGGGGGAACCCUGAUGCAGCGACGCCGCGUGGGUGAAGAAGCGCCUCGGCGCGUAAAGCCCUGUCAGCAGGGAAGAAAAUGACGGUACCUGAAGCAGAAGCCCCGGCUAACUACGUGCCAGCAGCCGCGGUAAUACGUAGGGGGCAAGCGUUAUCCGGAUUUACUGGGUGUAAUGGGGGCGCAGACGGCGAUGCAAGCCAGGAGUGAAAGCCCGGGGCUCAACCCUGGGACUGCCCUUGGAACUGCGUGGCUUGAGUGCAGGAGGGGCAGGCGGAAUUCCUGGUGUAGCGGUGAAAUGCGUAGAUAUUAGGAGGAACACCAGUGGCGAAGGCGGCUUACUGGACUGUAAAUGACGCUGAGGCUCGAAAGCGUGGGGAGCAAACAGGAUUAGAUACCCCGGUAGUC
rnacentral:rRNA from 1 species